rnacentral:rRNA from 1 species
CUCAAAGAUUAAGCCAUGCAAGUGGCUAUUAUAACCCGACGGUUUAAAUAAGUGUCCAAUACUUAUUUCGUUUUAUUAAUAAACGAUACACGAUUUUAAUCGAAUCUCUCUUAUCUUUUAAGAGAUAUCCUUUUAAUUAAAAAGGAAUCACUUAUGCAACUGCAGACAGCUGCUUAAUACAGUCACACUUGUCUUGACUUGGCGCUAUUCUUUAGCAUUUAAAAGACCUCUGGUCUUACUUGCUAAAUGAUUUCAUCUGUUAUAAUCUAUUCCUUAAUGGAAUCUUAUAACCAGAUUGACUCACCCACAUCCUCUUUAUGGAUAACUCAGGGAAAGUUUGGCUAAUACAUACGAGAAUUAACCUAUAAUACCCCACACACACACAAUACCCACACAAUUCUCUGCACUCAAUGGUUAAUCUUUGGUUAUUACAUUUUUGUAAUGCCUUCUAAUAAGAUUACAAGCAACAUGAGAGACAUUGAGCACGCAUCGUAUAUUAAUUCUAUUACUUGUAAUAGAUUAUAUACUUUUUACGCUGAGCAGACUUUACGAAGUUCACUUUGUGAAGCAUGUCAUACAAGCAUCUACAGCAUCAAGUCACAGGGUUGGCAAGUGUAUUUUUGAACCUUCAAAGCAGUCACGCAUACGGAAGAGUAGUUUCUGAUCCCAUAGAAGGAGCACCGUACAAUGAGAGACCGCUCUUAGUUCUAAGGAACGCAGCAGGCGCGUAAAUUGCCCAAUGACAGUACCCUACAAUCUUUAUAAUUAGAAUUCAAUUCUUUUUAUUAAGAAGAUUGAUAUCUAUUGAACUCAUUGCAAUUAGAUACGCAAUUAUUAAACAAAACAACAAUUCUCUUAAGAGAAUUCGUUUUGACCUCGUGUACUCGUCUUACUAUUAAACGAUUCUAAUAUAACAAUAUCCUUGUACACUGUUCUUUAUAAUUCAAUAACGUAUCUAAGAUAAGAGCAUUGGUUUUUUAAACCGAUUAUACCUUUCCUUUUAUAUGUUGAGGCAGUGACAAGCUGUAACGGUUGAGUAUUUUAAAUGACGAGUGUCUGGCAUUGCCGCUCUUUCGGGAGCUUGGCAAGUUGCCGACGCUUUGUGUGCUCAAUUGGAAUGCGGUGAGUUUAAGCAACUCAGAACCUUUUAUUGGUAUUUUUAAUCAUUUACUAAUAACGUAUCUGAAUUUCAAGUGGAGGGCAAGUCUGGUGCCAGCAGCCGCGGUAAUACCAGCUCCACUGGCCUAUACAAUCAUUGUUGCGGUUAAGAGGCUCGUAGUUGGAUUGAACUACAUUUAAAGAUUAUAAUCAUUCUUUAGUGGUUAUUAUUCUAAAUUACAAUGUGGUAUUUAUUAGCGCUAAAGAAAUAUAUAUAUAUUUCUUUUUAGCGUUAAUUCGACUCUAUUUGUUUAGAGCUAAUAACAUGUGAUAACCAUUCUAUAUUGUUCGUAAUCAUUCUCAACACUGUGAACAAAUCAGAGUGUAUCAAACAUGUUGUUUUUUCUUGUGCAUUGUAUGUCUUAUCAUGGGAUGUUGCACUUGUAAAGCUAAAAUCUAAACGAUAAAGGCUAAUUAAAAAAUACACAUAUUACGCUAAUAGAUUUUAGAGCUAAAUUACAAAAUGUCGAUGGGGAUAGUUGGAGCCAACAGUACUGCUGGGCGAGCGGUGAAAUGCAUUGACCCUAGCAAGACUACCAAAAGCGAAAGCAGUUGGCUAGGCUAUACUCUUUGUGAUUUAUUUAGGUUUAUUAUAAUUAAAUAGCAAUUAAACAAAAUAUAAUACUAUUACUAUUGCUAUUAUAAUAGCCUUUAUAUCUAACACUUUACAAUGAAGAACGAAGGUUGGGGGAUCAAAGAGGAUCAGAUACCCUCGUCGUCCCAUUUGUUCACAUCAAACGAUGGACUCUCAAUUGCAAUUUCUAUUAUUAGAAUUGCUAAAUGCACCUCAACCUGCAAAUUAUAACCUGGCUCGAGCUCGUAUUCUAAUCUCGUAUUAGAUACGCUCGCCUAACUUUAAAUUUCGUACGGUCUCGAUGGACAUUUUGAUUCUAUAAUCUUUAUUCUGCGUGUAGGCUAUACAUGUUUAAUCUUUAGCGUUUAUUCUUAAUAAAUAGCUGGAUUUGCAUGGCGUGCACUUGAUUUUCGGAGCUUUGCGCUCAAUUCUGGUGAGAUGUAAGCACUCUGUUUAACUACCCGUGCUGCAUACUUCUUUUUAACCGAAGGGUAUUAGCAGUAUCGUGUUGUAUGUUAUUCAAUUCUUUGUGUGAAGCACGCGUUAGGCACGCGCUUACUGCAGAAAUGUCUGAGACAUUCUCCUCCGGGGGUAGUAUGCACGCAAGUGUGAAACUUGAAGGAAUUGACGGAAGGGCACCACAAGAACGCGUGGAGCAUGUGGCUUAAUUUGACUCAACGCGGGAAAUCUUACCGGGUCCGGACACACUGAGGAUUGACAGGCAAUAUCUAAAUCGUUUAUAAUUCCUAUUAUAAUACGCUUUAGUGUUAAAUAUGCUAGUCCUUUCAUGAUUAUGUGAUAGGUGGUGCAUGGCCGUUCUUAGUUCGUGGAGUGAUCUGUCUGCUUAAUUGCGUUUCACUAAGGGCCAUAAAUUCAAGGUAUGUUAGCUAUCGUUUCUCAAUUGACCCCUUGUCUUCGAUAAGCGCGUGUCUUUUAGAGUUUAAACAUUGCGCAUGCUGUUGGGUCCUGAAAGCAACGAACGUGACCGCAACGUCUUAUUGCCUUUAUCUUGCUAUAUUUUAAUUUAAUUAAAAAUAGCUAACAGAGGCUAAUUUAAAAUUAGACGGACCGCUGUACUUUUCUUAAACCAGAGGAAGGUUGCGGCAAUAACAGGUCUGUGAUGCCCUUAGAUGUUCCGGGCUGCACACGUGCUACAAUGAUCAGUACAGUGAGCAUCUCAAUAUUAUACACCGUAUUAAGCGCUUAGUUGCGAUUAUUGGCUCAUUAUUGGGUCUUUUAAUUGUAUUUCUAAUGCGCGCGGUAAAGCCUGCUUCGAGAGUAAGUGGGUAAUCCAUUGGAAGUAAUGAUUUCUCUUUUUAUAGCACACCUAUAUACGGCAUUCAUUCCCGGGACGACUAGUUUCGUCUUUUUUGUGCGAAUGUAAUGUAUUCUUUAUCCGUAUGUGCGAUUGUCAAUUCAUGGUGGGGACAGACCAUUGUUAAUUGUUGGUCUCGGUCUUAACUAGGAAUGCCUUGUACGGGUCUUUGGUUCAACAAACCACCCGGAAUACGUCCCUGCCCUUUGUACACACCGCCCGUCGCUCUUACCGAUGAACUUCUUUGUGAGUCUAAGGGACUGGGUUAAUCUGUAAUUCUAUUAUAGAUAUACCUAUGGAAACUUAUACGAACAAUGUGGUUUAAAGGAAAGAGAAGUCGUAACAAGGCAACAGUAGGUGAACCU